AGAGUUUGAUCAUGGCUCAGGACGAACGCUGGCGGCGUGCUUAACACAUGCAAGUCGAACGAUGAACCUCCUUCGGGAGGGGAUUAGUGGCGAACGGGUGAGUAACACGUGGGCAACCUGCCCCGCACACUGGGAUAAGCCCUGGAAACGGGGUCUAAUACCGGAUAUGACUCAAGGUCGCAUGGUCUUGGGUGGAAAGCUCCGGCGGUGCGGGAUGGGCCCGCGGCCUAUCAGCUUGUUGGUGAGGUAACGGCUCACCAAGGCGACGACGGGUAGCCGGCCUGAGAGGGCGACCGGCCACACUGGGACUGAGACACGGCCCAGACUCCUACGGGAGGCAGCAGUGGGGAAUAUUGCACAAUGGGCGCAAGCCUGAUGCAGCGACGCCGCGUGAGGGAUGAAGGCCUUCGGGUUGUAAACCUCUUUCAGCAGGGAAGAAGCUCUUGAGUGACGGUACCUGCAGAAGAAGCGCCGGCUAACUACGUGCCAGCAGCCGCGGUAAUACGUAGGGCGCGAGCGUUGUCCGGAAUUAUUGGGCGUAAAGAGCUCGUAGGCGGCUUGUCGCGUCGGUUGUGAAAGCCCGGGGCUUAACUCCGGGUCUGCAGUCGAUACGGGCAGGCUAGAGUUCGGUAGGGGAGAUCGGAAUUCCUGGUGUAGCGGUGAAAUGCGCAGAUAUCAGGAGGAACACCGGUGGCGAAGGCGGAUCUCUGGGCCGAUACCGACGCUGAGGAGCGAAAGCGUGGGGAGCGAACAGGAUUAGAUACCCUGGUAGUCCACGCCGUAAACGGUGGGCACUAGGUGUGGGCGGCAUUCCACGUCGUCCGUGCCGUAGCUAACGCAUUAAGUGCCCCGCCUGGGGAGUACGGCCGCAAGGCUAAAACUCAAAGGAAUUGACGG
rnacentral:rRNA from 1 species